UAUUUCGAAAUACAAGUGAAGAAGCGAAAAACCGCCGCCUGUCCGCCGAAUUUGAAGUCAAUUUAGGAUACUUUCCUUUAAUAAACGAAACUGUGACUCCUUCACAAUGUCAGGUAAUAGAUGGCCUAAUCUAUUUGCAGUGUGAGAAUUUCCCUCACAUUUAUCCAAUACCAAGCCAAAUCACUGGAAAAAUUUUGGAUGGGUCCACAAGAGCACAAAGUGCAUACUUUUUGAAG